rnacentral:rRNA from 1 species
AAGGAAUAUUGGACAAUGGAGGCAACUCUGAUCCAGCCAUGCCGCGUGAAGGAUGAAGGCGCUACGCGUUGUAAACUUCUUUUCUCUUAGAAAAAACUAUUGGUUUCGUACCGGUACUGAUUGUACAAGAGGAAUAAGCAUCGGCUAACUUCGUGCCAGCAGCCGCGGUAAUACGAAGGAUGCAAGCGUUAUCCGGAUUCACUGGGUUUAAAGGGUGUGCAGGUGGGAUAAUAAGUCAGUGGUGAAAGCCCCCGACUCAAUCGGGGAACUGCCAUAGAUACUGUUAUUCUUGAGUGUGGUUGAGGCGGAUGGAAUAUGACAUGUAGCGGUGAAAUGCUUAGAUAUGUCAUAGAACACCAAUCGCGAAGGCAGUCCGCCAAACCAUUACUGACACUGAAACACGAAAGUGCGGGGAUCAAAC